GAGUAACCUGCCCCUGACUCUGGGAUAAGCGUUGGAAACGACGUCUNAUACUGGAUAUGACUGCCGGCCGCAUGGNUCUGGUGGNGGAAAGAUUUUUUGGUUGGGGAUGGACUCGCGGCCUAUCANCUUGUUGGUGAGGUAAUGGCUCACCAAGGCNACNACNGGUAGCCGGCCUGAGAGGGUGACCNGCCACACUGGGACUGAGACACNGCCCACACUCCUACGGGAGGCAGCAGUGGGGAAUAUUGCACAAUGGGCGAAAGCCUGAUGCNNCNNCGCCGCGUGAGGGAUGACGGCCUUCGGGUUGUAAACCUCUUUUAGUAGGGAAGAAGGGAGCUUGCUCUUGACGGUACCUGCAGAAAAAGCACCGGCUAACUACGUGCCAGCAGCCGCGGUAAUACGUAGGGUGCAAGNCGUUGUCCGGAAWUAUUNGGGCGUAAAGAGGCUCGUANGGCGGNUUUGUCGCGUCUGCUGUGAAAUCCCGAGGCUCAACCUCGGGCUUGCAGUGGGUACGGGCAGACUAGAGUGCGGUAGGGGAGAUUGGAAUUCCUGGUGUAGCGGUGGAAUGCGCAGAUAUCAGGAGGAACACCGAUGGCGAAGGCAGAUCUCUGGGCCGUAACUGACGCUGAGGAGCGAAAGCAUGGGGAGCGAACAGGAUUAGAUACCCUGGUAGUCCAUGCCGUAAACGUUGGGCGCUANGAUGUANGGGACCUNUUCCACGGUUUCUGUGUCGUAGCUAACGCAUUAAGCGNCCCCGCCUGGGGANGUACGGCCGCAAGGCUAAAACUNCAAAGGAAUUGACGGGGGCCCNGCACAAGCGGCGGNAGCAUUGCGGAUUAAUUCGAUGCAACNNNGAAGAACCUUANCNAAGGCUUGMCAUACNCCGGNAAACGGCCAGAGAUGGUCGCCCCCUUGUGGUCGGUGUACAGGUGGUGCAUGGUUGUCGUCAGCUCGUGUCGUGAGAUGUUGGGUUAAGUCCCGCAACGAGCGCAACCCUCGUUNUAUGUUGCCAGCGCGUUAUGGCGGGGACUCAUAGGAGACUGCCGGGGUCAACUCGGAGGAAGGUGGGGAUGACGUCAAAUCNUCAUGCCCCUUAUGUCUUGGGCUUCACGCAUGCUACAAUGGCCGGUACAAAGGGCUGCGAUACCGUAAGGUGGAGCGAAUCCCAAAAAACCGGUNUCAGUUCGGANUGAGGUNUGCAACUCGACCUCAUGAAGUCGGAGUCGCUAGUAAUNGCAGAUCAGCAACGCUGCGGUGAAUACGUUCCCGGGCCUUGUACACACCGCC
rnacentral:rRNA from 1 species